CCAGGUCCAGACACAAUAAGGAUUGACAGAUUGAGAGCUCUUUCUUGAUUUUGUGGGUGGUGGUGCAUGGCCGUUCUUAGUUGGUGGAGUGAUUUGUCUGCUUAAUUGCGAUAACGAACGAGACCUUAACCUGCUAAAUAGUGCUGCUAGCAUUUGCUGGUUUACACUUCUUAGAGGGACUAUCGGUUUCAACCCGAUGGAAGUUUGAGGCAAUAACAGGUCUGUGAUGCCCUUAGACGUUCUGGGCCGCACGCGCGCUACACUGACGGAGCCAGCGAGUAUAACCUUGGCCGAGAGGUCUGGGUAAUCUUGUGAAACUCCGUCGUGCUGGGGAUAGAGCAUUGCAAUUAUUGCUCUUCAACGAGGAAUUCCUAGUAAGCGCAAGUCAUCAGCUUGCGUUGAUUACGUCC
rnacentral:rRNA from 1 species